CCACAGAAAAGCUUGAUGGAGUCCACAUUUUUGAACGAACGGUGAUCCUGCUAUUAUCAACUGGUCCUGUGGGUCCUACUGGCAUCAUACUCAACAGACCUUCCCUCAUGUCAAUAAAGGAAACAAGAUCAACAGUUCUGGAUGUUGCAGGCACCUUCUCGGAUAUGCCACUGUUCUUUGGAGGACCCAUAGAGGAGGGCCUGUUCCUGGUGAAUAGCCCAAAAGGGGAUGAUGAUGGAGUGGUGAAGACUGGG
rnacentral:lncRNA from 1 species